UAGCCCUAAAUCUUGAUGACCCCAAACACAAACAUCCGCCUGAGAACUACGAGCACAAACGCUUAAAACUCUAAGGACUUGGCGGUGCUCUAAACCCACCUAGAGGAGCCUGUUCUAUAAUCGAUAACCCACGAUUCACCCGACCACCUCUUGCCAAAACAGCCUAUAUACCGCCGUCGCCAGCCCACCUCGUGAGAGCACAACAGUGAGCCCAACAGCCCACAGCCCACUAACAAGACAGGUCGAGGUAUAGCCUACGAGAUGGAAGAAAUGGGCUACAUUUUCUAAAAUAGAAAACCCAACGAAAAGGGGCUUGAAACCUGCCCCCAGAAGGCGGAUUUAGCAGUAAAGUAGGA
rnacentral:rRNA from 1 species